AGAUGCUGGGAACAGUUUCAUCCCUGGCUUGGCUUGCUUCUAUACCCAGAGGGCAGGAUGCCCAGGUUGUGUAGAAAAUGGUGAGGCCCUGUGCCUGCACCCUCUGCAAUCAAGAGAGGAGGCCCCUGCCCAUGUUCACCCCUUCCAGACCCCCAGCAGCGGUGGGUUGGUGCUCAGUCACCCUUGCCCUGGUGUGGGGGACGGGAGCCCCAGUCUCACAAAGAGGUCCUGUGCCCGUCUGUACUCCCAGCCAUGUCCAGGGACAGUGGCGUUUGAUUACUGGUUUCUGUUGCUGAGUGUUGACAGGCACCUGCUUCAGGAUCCACGAGAGCCAAACCUAAUAUCCAUUAGCACAGGAACCGUUGUGAGCAUUUAGUGUGGUCAGCUCUCCGUAUAAGGCACAGAGCUCAAAGCCAAAUUAGAUACUCCCUUCCGGAAACCACGCCAACACAGGUUUUCGAUUUUCUCUUUAAAUCACUGAUAGCAGUGUCUCAAUAUAGGUAUCAGAGUGUCUCCGACCUCCAGUCAUGCAGCUCUUGCUGGGGCUCGGCUUCCCAGGAAGAUUUCUUAACUACAUAAAUAAACGUAUUUCUGAAAAGUUAUUGGGAUUAGCCGACAGUAGUGUGUGUGUGUGUGUGUGUGUGUGUGUGUGUGUGUGUGUGUGUGUGUGUGUACAUGUGGGUGCACGUUCAUGUAGUGGGUGUGUUUGUAGGUGCUGGUGCAUGCACGUGCAUGGGUGGGUGGUCAGAAGUCAGCCUCACACAUCAUUCCUCAGGCAACCAUCUACCCCGUGUUUUGAGGCAGGAUCUCACUAGGACCUGGUGCUUGCUGGUUAGAGUAGGCUUGGUUGGCCAGAGAAUUCCAGAGCUUCUCCUGACUUACCUCCCCGAAACUGUACUGGGAUUACAGACCACCACACAUCUUUUACAUGGAUCCUGGGGAUUGAACUCAGGUCCCCAAACUGUGUGGCAAGCACCUCACUGAUUGAACUAUCUCCUUGGCCCCUUCAGGGGGUUUUUGGUUUGUUUGUUUGUUUUUAAAUGUAAUUCUUUUAGGUCUGGGGAUUUGGCUUGGUUGACAAAUUUCUUACCACUCAAGCAUAAGGACCUGAGUUUGGAUCUCCAGCGCCCACACAGAAGCCGGAUGUGGUCCCCGAUGACUGCUAUCCCAGCCUAGUCAAACGGUUGAGUAGCAGAGCUAUGCCCUGCCCUAUGAAGAAGUCAGAGCAAGGAAUCAGACCUUGGCUGGAGCAGACUGGUGCAGCGGAGACAGCAGAGGUGGCCUGGGAUGCACGGUGGAGAGCGUCAGCUACAAUGCUGGACCUUACAGGUCUCACUGUGAAGGCCUUACACUGUCCUUGCCAAGCCUGGAGCUUCUGGGUUAGCCAUCCAGUCUCUCUGCUGGAAAAAGUCAUAUGCAGAGCAGGUGGCCUUGACGGAAGGGAACAGAAGCCUAUCCAUGCCAUGUUCCAGCGGAGCUCUGGCCUGAGCUGGCCCUCCAGCCAGCCACAUGCAGCCACUUGAGGGUCCCAGAAAAAGGAAGCAGGAAGACCACCCAGGUCAAGUGUGGACCUAAAAUCCAAGCUUCAGCCAUUGCUUUUUGCCGAGCUCUCAGGCUGCAGGACUGAGAAAAGGAUGGUGUGUCAAGGCCAACUUCGGAGUUUCGAGACCUGGGCUGCAGUCUCAGCUCCUCCUCCUGCUGUCUGGGAGGCCUUGGAGGACCUGCCUGUGUGCUGUGCAGUGGGUUCUGUCCUGCCCUGUCCUUUGGAAGAGCUGCUAAGAAGUUCCAGGGACCCAUGGACACAAACAGGUUUUGUCACCAGCCGAAUGUCAAAUAAGUGCCUCUCUAUGAUGACAUCAUUGAUGGUCUCUUCAGUGGUACCUGGAGAAACCAAACUCAAUUUAGAAUCCAGUUCUAGAGUCACCUCAGUCACAUUUCAUGUAUGCACUUGCUGUAUGUGGCUGGUGGCUAGCACACAGGCAGACUGAGUGUGUCCGUCAUCACAGAAAGGUCUAGCAGCCACAUUGCACCAGGGGUUUUCCAGUGGGAAAUGAAAGGGAGAGAUGAAGGCAGAGGAAACCUGAGCAGGGAAGAGGGGUGGCGUGGACUGUCUGUCUUGCUUUUGCAGACCUUGCUUAGAAAAAUAGACUCAGGGGGCCCCCUUGCAGUUUGCGGGCAUCCCAGGCAUGUUCUUAGAAAACAGCCAUUUCUCACCACUAGAUCAGGGAGUCUCAGGCUGGCUCCAACAGACAGGACCACUGCAGCUGGUAGGCAGGCGGACUACUGCAUACUGCUCCAUUGGCCUGGCUGCUGGUGGACAGCGUGGCCUCUAGAGUUGACAGAGCACUCCUGUACACAUUGCAACAUAAGCUGAGAGGGCAUGGCAGGGAACAGUCACCACAGUGCCAAGGUGAUGGUGCCUCAGAGUGGUGCCAAGGGAUCAAUUAGUUAGUCAUGAGUUGCCUCCUGCUGAGGCUCCCUGAGUCCCAGAUCCUCUCUAGACUCCAGGCCAAGACAUUAAGAAACCAGCUCUCUCAGAGUCCCCAAGACCAGCUAGUAUAGCCUGCCCAUCAGACUGUGAAGCAGGGGUUCACAGAGCAAAGAGAGCCCUCUCCAAGAGGCCACCCUCUCUAAGAGGCCUACUGAGAGGUCACCCCAGAUAAUCGAUUUUUUCUGACUUGUUCCAUCAAAUGCCCCCCAUGCCUACCCCUAUAGACACAAGCCACAUUCAUAUAUGUGAAGAUAUGUGACUCAUAUACAGCAGACACACACAUAGACAUGCCUACCAAGAUAGAGAGAGAUAUGCAGGCAUUAAAGAGUCAAGGUAGAUGACUUUUGUGGGGCUGAACUAGAAUUUAUCCCAUACCCUGACCCAAGGACAUUGAAAGGUUAAAUGUGUGUUCCUGGAUAUAAACAAUCCCCAGGAGACUUCCUGGAUCCCAGUGACUAAAACUAAACACCCUGAAGUCAGGACCAGGAGACCCUAAAUUUGAACACAUUGUGGGAGGGUGGCCCUGCUAGACACAUGCUUCAGCUUAUAUUCAGCCAGUACCGUUUUUCCACUGGACAAUGAGAAUAUUAGGGGCCAGCAACUGCUCUUGUAUCUUCCAGGCUUCCUGGGAUGAUUCUUGCCCCAUUUUCUUUAUCUCCUUCAAUAUCACAACAGCCCCAUCUUUCUCAUGGGACUUUCAAGUCUCUCCCCAUUCCCUGGAGCGGGUAGGCAGCAUCGCAAAUGACCAAUGAAAAGUCAGGGUUCUGGGUGCAGCAGUUGGUAGAACGCUUUCCUAGGAUGCAUGACAGCCUGCUUUGAGUCCCAGCACAGUGGUACAGUACAGUGGCAUGGUGGUUCACACCCACAGUCCUAAUACCUGAAAGGUAAAGGCAGAAGGAUCAAGAGUUCAGAGUCACCCUCAGCUAACAUUUGGGGUCAGCCUGGGCUACAUGAGAGCCUACCUCCAAACACUAAUCUGAAACAGCAAAAGUUAUUCUCUCUAGAACUAGUGUGCCCCAUGGCUUGGAGCAGCACCAGGAGGCUAAGGCUGGGUGGGAGUUCCUAGAAGGACCUUGAGAUGUUAUGGGUCCACGGCUGGCUGGUUUUCCUUCCUUCCCUGCCCCAGGGUCAGAUCUGUACUCUACUUUGCUCUUAGGAACUUCAGCUGGUGACUCUGAAAAAGCCAGGUUUUUUCAUGGACCAGAUUUUUAGAGUAAUCUCCAAAAAUGACAUCUUCUCACAGGGUCUAUAGAUGACCCAGACUACAGUCAUGCUGUCAUCCCAAGGCUGUCAUGAUCAUCAAAAGCCAUCCCCAAACCCAGUGUGAAUUUAAAGAAAGUCACUCAUCUCUGAAACUACAGGAAAUAUCUGUGGGUCAAUUCCAAGUGAAACACUCCCUGCUUUGUGUCCCUUUAGGUCAAGAAGAUGAUUUAGUAAGUGAUGAUUGAUCAUUUUCAAUCACACUAUUUAUUUAUUUAUUUAUUUAUUUAUUUAUUUAUUUAUUUAUUUAUUUAUUUUACUCUGUUGAUCAGGCUGGCCAACUGUAAUUCUAAAACACUAACAGCUAGCAUUACUUAUGUAAUAAUAGUUUCCUUAAAAUAAUUGCUAUCAUUAGACUAUAAGCCACAGCACAAAUCAUACAAGGGCAGGUAUUUUUGUCAAUUUUUAAAACCAAAAUCAUCUCAGUAGCCUGAUCAGUGAUUGGUGCA